UAGAGGUCUUCUAAACCUUUGGUCCUUUAAUUACCGUGCAACUGCAAACCUACCACCCUCAAAUUUGUGGCUCCCUGCUAUUCUUUGGUGGCUUUUAGAAUUUUGAUAUGAUGGAUCUGAAAUAACAGCCAGAAGACGAAGUGAGCUUACUAUAUUCCCUAUUGCCAUUGAUCUAUCUUCCGAAUGCCGAAUGCUGUUAAUAGUUCCUUUCCUGAUGGCUGAUUUGGCUGAUUUGUUUUCAUUUUUUCCCCCUACUUGAUGAGCUUAAUAGGCAAUUAUUGAUGCUGCUUCUUAUGUACUGAUUGUACUAGUUCAAUUCUUAAGAACAUUUGUUAAGAAUAACGUCGAUGGAGGAAAAGAAAUUAUAACUUUGAGAAAA